CCUCCUCAUAAUCCUUCUCAAGGGCAGCCAUGUCCUCACGGGCCUCAGAAAACUCUCCUUCCUCCAUGCCCUCACCCACAUACCAGUGAACAAAGGCACGCUUGGCAUACAUCAGGUCAAACUUGUGGUCCAGGCGAGCCCAGGCCUCAGCAAUGGCUGUGGUGUUGCUCAGCAUGCACACAGCUCGCUGUACUUUGGCCAGGUCUCCACCAGGUACCACAGUGGGAGGCUGGUAAUUAAUGCCAACUUUGAAGCCAGUGGGGCACCAGUCCACAAACUGGAUGCUGCGCUUGGUCUUGAUGGUGGCAAUGGCAGCAUUGACAUCUUUGGGAACCACAUCACCACGGUACAACAGGCAGCAAGCCAUGUAUUUACCAUGGCGAGGGUCGCAUUUCACCAUCUGGUUGGCUGGCUCAAAGCACGCAUUGGUGAUCUCUGCUACAGAAAGCUGUUCAUGGUAGGCUUUCUCAGCAGAGAUGACAGGGGCAUAUGUGGCCAGAGGGAAGUGGAUGCGGGGAUAGGGCACCAGGUUGGUCUGGAAUUCUGUCAGAUCCACAUUCAGGGCUCCAUCAAAUCUGAGGGAAGCAGUGAUGGAAGACACAAUCUGGCUAAUAAGGCGGUUAAGGUUAGUGUAGGUUGGGCGUUCAAUAUCGAGGUUUCUACGACAGAUGUCAUAGAUGGCCUCGUUGUCUACCAUGAAGGCACAAUCAGAGUGCUCCAGGGUGGUGUGGGUAGUGAGGAUGGAGUUGUAGGGCUCAACGACAGCAGUGGAAACCUGGGGGGCUGGGUAAAUGGAGAACUCCAGCUUGGACUUCUUGCCAUAAUCGACAGAGAGACGUUCCAUCAGCAGGGAGGUGAACCCGGAACCAGUUCCCCCUCCAAAGCUGUGGAAAACCAAGAAGCCCUGAAGACCCGUGCACUGGUCGGCCUGUGAGAAAAAAGGAACAGAGGAGACAGAUUAUAAUAGACCUUCCCAGAAUUACAAAGCAUUUCUUCACUUAAAAUAUCUUCAUUGACGUUUAUAAAAUGACACCAAAUAAUUCAUGUUGUAGUUGAAGAUUUAAAAACCCUAUCAAGGAAUAAUUUACCAGUUGUCCUCACUCCAUUAUAUUUCUAUUCUGUGUUUGAAAAGAAAAGAUCGUAUUUCAAAUGUCUUCCUUAGGGCUAUCAUUUACUUUAUUCUGGAGAACAAACAUACCAGUUUCCGAAUUCGGUCCAAGACAAGGUCGAUGAUCUCCUUGCCGAUGGUGUAGUGCCCUCGGGCAUAGUUAUUGGCAGCAUCUUCCUUGCCCGUGAUGAGCUGCUCAGGAUGGAAGAGCUGGCGGUAGGUGCCAGUGCGAACUUCAUCUGGAAGAGAAAAACAAAGCAGCCACCCGUCACUCACAACCUGCACACGCCUGCUCCACCCCAGGGUGUCAUUGGAGCCCUCACGACAGACCUCCUGUCUCAAGAGCCCUGAGAUCUCCCUUGGGUUACUGAGGCCAACUCACCAAUGACUGUGGGUUCCAGGUCUACAAACACUGCCCUGGGCACAUGCUUGCCAGCUCCCGUCUCACUGAAGAAGGUGUUGAAGGAGUCAUCUCCUCCCCCAAUGGUCUUGUCACUUGGCAUCUGGCCAUCGGGCUGGAUGCCGUGUUCCAGGCAAUAGAGCUCCCAGCAGGCAUUGCCGAUCUGAACACCAGCCUGGCCAACGUGGAUGGAGAUGCACUCACGCUGUGGAAAAGUAGGUAAAAAAAAAAAAAAAAAUCAGCAUUAAACCAAUCUAGUAGUGACUGUGAAGCAGAACAAAAUAACAAGUAAUCAAUCUUACAAAUUUCCCCUUCUAAAACUAGUUUAAAUGUAACAUCUUUUCUAGGAGAGAAUCACUACACUUUUUAAUCGGCAUUGCUUUUAAUGUAUUUCUUUUCACCCUGUAAAUUGGGAAGGCCUCGUUCCAGACCAAGAAAGCUUAGUCACAGCUUUCUCCUUUGGAGCACCAAGAUAGGGGGAGGCCAUUCAUCCAGUGCUCAGGCUUCAGAAUUCCAUUUUAGACUAGGCGGCCAGAUUUCCGGGCAGCUACCAUCACAGGAAGCACGUGGCCAGAACAGUGCAGAGGAAAUGUCUGGCCACAGGGACAAAGGGCGGGGUUUUGCGGCACAGGAUGAAUGAGCAAUUCAGGGUGUGUGCGCGCGCGCCCGCGCCCGCCUGCGGCCAGCGGGACCGCGCAGCUGCAGACACACGCAGCGGCCACGUCUGCUGAGGUGCUACCUCGGCCAACCAUCUUCUGCUCCCCCAGGCGCUAGGCUUAGCCUAGCACCCCCACAUCAGUCAGGGCGCAGCAGGGGAUUAUCAGCAGCCCAGAUCUGGACCAAGAUCCGAUUUCCAUUCUUUCAAAAUCCCUCACCGCCACCAGCUGCUCCUACACGCAUUCCUAACAUAGGUCAAGGGACAGAUGGAGUCUAGAAGCUGUUGGGAGCAAAUUAUCCUAGUACGCUGGCGUACUGCAGCACACUGACACGGAGGAUUCUCCACAUGUAGCUUUUCUUUCGUUAAAAACAAAAAAAAAAAUGCAGGCUAACAGACGACACGCCCUACAGUGGCGGACGCGCAGGGCCCUCGCGCGCACGCGCAGACUGCAGGGGCGGUCUCCCGCCGCUCCCUGGCGGGAAGCUAACGGUCGCGCGUGCGCUUUUGUAUUCUGGCUCCUUCCCGCCUCCGCUCUUCUCGCUAAGGAGGAAGUGAGGGCGUGGAGAGCCCGCGCGCGCUCCCGCCAAAGGCCGGGGAAGGAAGGGGGGAUGGGAACGCGCGGGAAAGGACUGUAGGGUCUCGGGUCACCGCACCCCGGAGUUAAGGGCUAAUUGAGAGACCCAACCACGGUCUGGGGAGCUGGGGCUCCGCCAUCCCCUCCCAAAGACAGAGAAGAAAAUGCGCCCCCCUUCCAUGCCCCAGCCGUUCUCACUACUCCCACCCUCGCCUCGCUUUUCGCCCUCCCAAACGAGGAGCGCUGAUCUCUGGCUAAAAGGCCGUCCGAGACCGCCGGGCUGGCUUUUCCCGUUUUUCCAGAGCGAGGGCGGCGCCGCGAGUGGUCCACUCACCAUGGUGGCUAAGGGUUAGCAGGCGUAGGCGACAGGAGCAGACACCGGGUCCUGGUUACCGUCCC
rnacentral:lncRNA from 1 species